AUGGCUCAGAACGAACGCUGGUGGCGUGCUUAUACAUGCAAGUCGAGCGAGGCAGCAAUGCCGAGCGGCGAACGGGUGAGUAACGCGUAAGCAAUCUGCCCCAUAUCAGGGAAAGUACCCGUGCCAACGCGCGGUUAAUGUCCAGGAGAGUGGCUCCUCUGCAUGGAGGGGUUGACUAGAGAUUUAUCGGUAUGGGAUGAGCUUGCGUCCGAUUAGCUAGUUGGCGGGGCAACGGCCCACCAAGGCGACGAUCGGUAGCCGGCCUGAGAGGGUGAUCGGCCACAUUGGGACUGAGAUACGGCCCAGACUCCUACGGGAGGCAGCAGUAGGGAAUAUUGCACAAUGGGGGAAACCCUGAUGCAGCAACGCCACGUGUGGGAAAGAAGCAUUUCGGUGUGUAAACCACUGUCAUGAGGGAAUAAGGCCUGUCUUCGGGCAGGAUUGAAUGUACCUUGAGAGGAAGCACCGGCAAACUUCGUGCCAGCCGCCGC
rnacentral:rRNA from 1 species